GUAAGCAGAGCAAAUGUACCUUGCAUGUCCACCUUUAGUUCAGGGGGCUCCCCAGCGUCUCUGGGGCCUGUCUUGUGGAGGCAGAGGGCCAUCCAUGGCUUCACAGGGCCUCCUGGGACCGGGGCAGACAGUGGCACUCUGCCAGCAUCCAGGAGCUUGCAGGGCCUGAUUUGGAGGUGCCAGGAGUACUCGGGUUAUUUCGGGAGCCGGAAAUUCAAUCCUUUGGACCUUUUACCUCCCCACCUUUAGCCAAGUUCUCUGGCAGCCUCCUUGUCCUGAGACUGGUGGCCUGAGGUCUUGCCGACUUCCCACCCCAAGUUAGCUUAGCCCAGCUCUUCCCAGAGAGAGGACACUUUCUCCUCCAGCCUCAGGGUGAGGUUCAGAGAGCAUGUACAUAUGAGGGAUUUUCUAAAUUAGUGUCAAGACAAAGAAAAAUUGUUUUAGAAGACUUGAAAUUAUUUUCUCUUUAAAAUACUACAAUCCAAGAUGUUGAGGCCAUUUCAAAAAAAACCUAAAUGAAAUGGGGUGAUGCAACCAAGAUGCAGAAAGGCUAAGUACAUUGCCAAGGUCCACACGCCAGUAACUGAACUAGACUGGGAGCCCAGAGUCUCCCGGCUGCGGUUGGUUGCAUCUUUAAAUGUCGGUGGUAGGCCACACGUAAAGACGCACGAGGAAAGCAGGAGGAAAAAUUGAGUAAAGACAUGAAACUACUUAACUGGAAAAGGUGAUUAGACAGCAGAGUGGAAUUGAUGAUUUGGUGCCUCCUUUUCCCUGGAGCAUCAUCCCGAGAGACCACACACAGUUAUGACAUAAAGUCCAGCUGAAACGUUCAUUCCAGAUCUCUCUGAAUGGGAUACAUUCAGGCUCAGGGAGCCGCUCUUAACCGACGGUGUUGCCUAGGACAGAGAGCUGUGGAGCAGCGGGGAUCAGGAAUUCUGAUUCGCUCACUUCACAUUUGACACAUACGCAGUGCCUCCUGUUGGCUGAACCCAACGACAAGCCAGGCGGCCAGGGAAACUAGGGGAUGCAGUCAGUAAAGGUCAACCUCGUGGGACACUGCAG
rnacentral:lncRNA from 1 species